UUGAAUUUUUCGGUAAAAUAUAUAUAAUAUUACUCGUCAAAGUUAUUGACUGUGACACCAGAGGCCUUAUGAAAUAGGUAUAUUGGACCCGGGGGCAGUACCCGGCACCUCCACCAUUUAUGGGGGUGAGUUAGGUUUGACAGUGUAUAGUAAAGAUAAGUGUUGUGUUCGGCAAGAUACCACCGUUAUCGGUUCAAAAUAAAUAAACGCAAAUGAUAAUUUUGCACCAGUUGCAGUAGCUGCCUAAGCUAAGCAACGAAUUUCAAUCCUUUGAGCUUUGGUUAGCGCAAAGUGGGGGAUGAGCCACCCAGCAACAGAACGGCU
rnacentral:tmRNA from 1 species